GCGGAAGCCCGAGGGGGUCUCGGUGUCCUCAAGCGGCAGCUGAGGCCAACCUCUGCGCGCAGGACCGCGAAGCCGGGCAGCCGCGUCGGCUCCUGCGGGGUGUUGUCUUUCGUUAGUUACUCCCGAGCUUUCCCGCUUCCCAGCCCCGUGAAUACCGCCUGCACUUCUCAGAAGAGCAGCCUGCCGGUGGCUCCGGCACGCGCUGCAGUCCUGCGUUUGCGCCGCUAGGGGGAGAGCCCCUCGGGUUUGGGCCCGAGCGAAGCUUGGCCGCGUUUGCAGCCCUCGAGGGAAACUGCCCAGUCCUGAGGGCCAGGCGAAAAGCCUCCAGCUUAUGAUGCCGGGAACGGACCGCCUGGGUUUCUACCCCCCUUCCCCCGCUUCUCAAUUCUGUAAAUAUUUAUUCUGCAUGUGUUCCAGACCUGGCCGUCAUCCUCCCAGAACUCACAGCCCCCGGAGCAAACAGGCCCAACUAAUCACUGGAUGGAUAUCUUAUAGCAUCGAAGUGCCUCCCAAUAGCAUUUGUGGUCAGUCAGCCUUUGUCUAUACACCCGGCCUCUGUGUGGCUGGUGGUGUAGAUGGAACUGAAAGAACUGCCACCAUUGCCUUAAAAGUUCAUAUAGAAUUCUUUUAUUAAAGACAGAAACCUGGAAUCUAUGAGGAGCACAUACCAUCAGAUUCCCCCACUGUGCUGGACACAGCAGUGAUUUGUUAUUGAGUCAUAUUAUAUAUUAUAAAAGUAUGAACUAAUACACUCUCCUUGAGGAAAAUGGGGCAAAUAUAAAAGAGGUGUUAAAACAACUAACAGACCCUCCCCUGAAAACAACUACUGUUAGCAGGUACUUUUAAAAAUGCUUUUUUCCCUUUUCACUUUUUAAAAAUAUGUGGCCAUAGUAUAUAAACAAUUGUAUAUCUUGCCUUCUUUAUU